UACAGAGGGUGCAAGCGUUAAUCGGAAUUACUGGGCGUAAAGCGUGCGUAGACGGUCAUGUAAGUCGGGUGUGAAAGCCCCGGGCUCACCUGGGAAUUGCAUUCGAGACCGCAUGGCUAGGGUGCGGAAGAGGGAAGCGGAAUUUCCGGUGUAGCGGUGAAAAUGCGUAGAUAUCGGAAGGAACACCAGUGGCGAAAGCGGCUUCCUGG
rnacentral:rRNA from 1 species